AUGGUGCGACAGCUAUAUCUAGCUUGUAGCAAGACUAGCUUAUGCCUCGCUGAAGGUUUCCGUGCUCUCUACAGUAAUGAGCCAGCCCGUUUCUGGCUUUCUGCAUGCUCGCUCGCUCAUUGCAUUUUCCUCAUGCCAUUUUCUCUUUUGUUUCUUUCUCAUUCUUUUUUUGUUUCUUCAUGGGUGUUUUUCAUAUAUUUUUUCAUCAUGUUUUUCGGUUUUUACAGUUUUUUCUUUCCUCUUUUUCGGUUUUUCUUUUGUUCCUUUCUCCGUUUUUUAUUUCUAUUCUAUGUUCUUUGGUUAUUUUGUUUGUUUCUUAGAUUUCAUCAGCUUCCUUCAUUUUUCUUUAGUUAA
rnacentral:rRNA from 1 species